CCACCUGAUCCCAUGCCGAACUCAGAAGUGAAACGCCGUAGCGCCGAUGGUAGUGUGGGGUCUCCCCAUGUGAGAGUAGGGAACUGCCAAGC
rnacentral:rRNA from 1 species